rnacentral:rRNA from 1 species
UACGUAGGGUGCAAGCGUUAAUCGGAAUUACUGGGCGUAAAGCGUGCGCAGGCGGUCCGUUAAGACAGAUGUGAAAAUCCCCGGGCUUAACCUGGGAACUGCAUUUGUGACUGGCGGACUCGAGUAUGGCAGAGGGGGGUAGAAUUCCACGUGUAGCAGUGAAAUGCGCAGAUAUCGGGAGGAACACCCGUAGCGAAGGCGGCACUCUGGGCCGGAAC